rnacentral:rRNA from 1 species
ACUACGGGAGGCAGCAGUGGGGAAUCUUGCGCAAUGGGCGAAAGCCUGACGCAGCGACGCCGCGUGAGGGAUGAAGGUCUUCGGAUCGUAAACCUCUGUCAGCAGGGAAGAACGGUCACUGUACUAAUCAGCAGUGAAUUGACGGGACCUGCACAGGAAGCACCGGCUAACUCCGUACCAGGAGCCGCGGUAAUACGGGGGGUGCGGGCGUUAAUCGGAAUUAAUGGGCGUUAAGCGCUCGUAGGCGGUAUGUCAAGUCAAGGGGGAAAUGCCCGCGGUAAACGUGGGAAAUGCCUUGGAAACUGGCAAACUGGAGUGUGGGAGAGGAGAGUGGAAUUCCAGGUGUAGGAGUGAAAUGCGUAGAUAUCUGGAGGAACAGCAGUGGCGAAGGCGACUAUCUGGCACAUAACUGACGCUGAGGAGCGAAAGCGUGGGUAGCAAACAGGAUUAGAUACCCCUGUAGUC